rnacentral:rRNA from 1 species
UACGAAGGGAGCUAGCGUUUUUCGGAAUUACUGGGCGUAAAGAGCGCGUAGGCGGUUUGUUAAGUUGAAAGUGAAAGCCCAAGGCUUAACCUUGGAAUUGCUUUCAAAACUGACGGACUCGAGAGUGAUAGAGGAUGGUGGAAUUCCUAGUGUAGAGGUGAAAUUCUUAGAUAUUAGGAGGAACAUCAGAGGCGAAGGCGACCAUCUGGGUCACUUCUGACGCUAAUGUGCGAAAGCGUGGGUAGCAAACAGG